rnacentral:ribozyme from 14 species
AGUGAUCUUGUUUAAGAAUUCUAAUAAAGUUAAAGUAAAGAAACAAAAAAAAAUAAAAC